GUGGAGAUGCUACUAAGGGCUUACGGUGGAUGCCUUGGCGCCAAGUGCCGAUGAAGGACGUGGGACACUGCGAUAAGCUCCGGUCAGCCGUGAACAGGCGUUAUCAGCCGGAGAUCUCCGAAUGGGGAAACCCGCCGUUGCGAUCCAACGGCGUCCUCUAGUUGAACACAUAGAUUAGAGGACGGGAACCUGGGGAACUGAAACAUCUAAGUACCCAGAGGAAAAGAGACCAUUCCCCAAGUAGUGGCGAGCGAACGGGGAACAGCCCAAACCGCCCGUGCUUGCACGGACGGGGUUGUAGGGCCUGACACAUGGGAGUUACAAAUCGUAUGGUUAGUGGAAAGGUGUGGGAAAGCCUGCCAAAGAGGGUAAUAGCCCCGUACACGAAAAUCAUACGACUCCCGUCAGGUACCUGAGUACUGCCGGGCACGCUAAUCCGGCAGGAAUCUGGGGAGUCCACUCUCCAAGGCUAAAUACAUUUGGCGACCGAUAGUGAACUAGUACCGUGAGGGAAAGGUGAAAAGUCCCCCUGUUAGGGGAGUGAAAUAGAACCUGAAACCGUAAGCCUACAAGCAGUCGAAGGGCUAACAGCGUGUCGGUGCUAUUGCGAAAGCAUGUGCGCGGCGCUAUGCCUGACGGCGUGCCUCUUGGAGAAUGAGCCUGCGAGUUAAUCUCAGUGGCAAGGUUAAGGGAGUGACACCCGUAGCCGUAGCGAAAGCGAGUCUGAAUAGGGCGUAUAGUCGCUGGGAUUAGGCCCGA
rnacentral:rRNA from 1 species